rnacentral:rRNA from 1 species
GAUGAACGCUGGCGGCGUGCUUAACACAUGCAAGUCGAACGAUGAAGCCCAGCUUGCUGGGUGGAUUAGUGGCGAACGGGUGAGUAACACGUGAGUAACCUGCCCUUAACUCUGGGAUAAGCCUGGGAAACUGGGUCUAAUACCGGAUAGGAGCGCCUACCGCACGGUGGGUGUUGGAAAGAUUUAUCGGUUUUGGAUAGACUCGCGGCCUAUCAGCUUGUUGGUGAGGUAAUGGCUCACCAAGGCGACGACGGGUAGCCGGCCUGAGAGGGUGACCGGCCACACUGGGACUGAGACACGGCCCAGACUCCUACGGGAGGCAGCAGUGGGGAAUAUUGCACAAUGGGCGAAAGCCUGAUGCAGCGACGCCGCGUGAGGGAUGACGGCCUUCGGGUUGUAAACCUCUUUCAGUAGGGAAGAAGCGAAAGUGACGGUACCUGCAGAAGAAGCACCGGCUAACUACGUG